GUCAGUGUGGUAUAGUGGUUUGAGUGUUGGACUACAACUCUGGAGACCAGAGUUUGAACCCCUGUUCAGCCA